AUCAGAAUUUCAGAUUUCAGAAACAACAAUCUACCUCCAUGUUUGAUAUACAAUAACUCCCCUAAUUGAUUUACUCUAAUUCUAAUUUCUAACUCAAUUGGCAAUUACUCUAACUAGUAUUUAGGGUUUAUUACAAAUAAAAUUCCCUUAAAUCAAAUUUGGAUCAAUCAGAAUUUCAGAAACAGCCAUCUAACUCCAUUUGAUUUUAUCAACACUCCAUCAAGCAACAUGCAAGGAUCCAUCCAUCCAACAUUGAACUUUACCCAUCAUAGUGCACAGCACAAGUUGCAACCUUCUUGCAUAAGGUAUGUAUGAUCUUAGCCUGUUGCCUGGUAGGUAAUAACUAAAGAACACCAGCAUAUGCGGUCUCCACCAAAGUAUCACAGACAUUGUUUUCUACCAUGCAAGUGGAUGGAUAUGGAAAUAGUUAUUUGAAAGGAAGGUGACUUUGAGGGAAAUUAGUUCGGAAUCUCGAAGCUUUCAUGAUAGCUAGCUACCAUGGGGGGGGGGGUUGAGUGAAGAGAAAGGAAUCCUUGGGAUCAUUGAGUUUUAAACCUGCAAAACUUGAGAACUAUUGAAAGAAAAAAAUUAUUUCAACUAUCGAUCUCUUAUUAGCUCUGAAAAGAACAAGGAAUUUAUCAACCCUGUUGAUUUCCUUUUGGGCUUGUUAGAUAUUUUGACUACCUCUCAUCUACUGCUCAUUCAAUCCUCUGGGUGUGAAAGCUUUCAUAACAAUGCCAAGAGGCAGGGAGAUGGGGUGUUAAUUUGUUUCCCUGCUUGACCAUCUCUACUAGCUUAACUCAAAUUUAGCUCCAUAACUUUCCACUCAUUUUAAAGUUACAUAUAUAUCACCCCCUCUAUAUGUACCUUCUCUGAUGAAAGUUGUAUUAUUCUUUGAUAUCAAUCAUUUCUGGCAUAAUUAUAAUACCGAAUUUAUUGCCGAAAUUUUUGGCAGUGAUCAACCUUAUAAACUGAAUUGACACAAACACUGGAUUUUUUCUGGAUUCUUCUUCACUGGAAUCAAUGUUGAAGGUAUGGUUCAUGCUUCCAUUUCAAUGAUUUUCGCAAUCGUCUCGAUUGCAAUACAUUUAUAAUUCUCAGAAGCAUUUUGGAGGGUAAUUGGUAUCAAAAUUCCCUUGAUUGUAGAACUCUGAUGAUUCAUAUUAAGCUCGAAAAACAAACAAGCCAGAAUAAUGGUUGAAGACUAAAGCAUUGUUGAAUUAAGGCAUCCAUCCAUUGUGUGCAUUACCAAUUCCUUAACCAUUAAUUGUGUGAAAAGAACUUUUACAAUUCCUUAACCAUUUGAGGCUCUGACUGACAAUGGAACACCUAAAACUGAACUAUUGGCAAUAGGUAGGUAGGUUGGACUAUUGAACUUGGAUUUGAAAUAAACCCUAAACACCAAUCGAUCAUACAAAAACCCUAGAUUACAUUAAAAACAUGAAUCGAUAAAUCAAAGAAAAUGCAGAAUAUUUACGAUGAAGAUUGAACAAGAGAGAAAUCAUAAAGAAGAAGAAUUCGUACCUUUGAGAAAACGAAUUGGCCAAGAGUGGAAAUAUGUAGUCAUUUAAAAAUGAAAAUUGAUAUCCGAUUUGGAAGAAUCGAAGAGCGAUAUCUAGAGACUAGGGUUACUGACUUAUUUUAUUUAUUUUAUUCCAUC
rnacentral:lncRNA from 1 species